rnacentral:lncRNA from 1 species
AAUGAACAUACCGUAGUGUCCCUCGAUACGAUUCGGUCGUGCCAAAGGAAUGCCCAACCACCUCUGAAUUUCGUUCCAAACCUCUUCCAUCUUCGGGCACAGAAGAAACAAAUGGUUUAAUGAUUCUUCCACCAUCCCGCAGUCGCUGCAUUUGGACUCAUCUGCGGUCGUGAGAAUCCUCCUUUUUUCAAGUUGUCACGGGUUGGGAGCCUGUUGAGCAACAUCCUCCAAGUUGUCAUGGUUGCUUUAUGUGGUGUCUUUGCCUUCCACAUUGAGUGAAGGAGCGACGCGUCAAUAUUCAAUCUGGGAGCGUCGUUGCCACUUGCUUUGAUACAAGAGUAAGCCGAUUUCGUGGAGAAAAUCCCAUCAGGAGAAGCCAACCAAGUCCAGCUAUCUUCGAAAUCUGCACAAGGUGAACAUUGAGUAAUAUAAUUUGUUAGUUGCUGCACUGCCUCCUUCUCGCAUUC